rnacentral:rRNA from 1 species
AUUGAACGCUGGCGGCAGGCUUAACACAUGCAAGUCGAGCGGAGAUGAGGUGCUUGCACCUUAUCUUAGCGGCGGACGGGUGAGUAAUGCUUAGGAAUCUGCCUAUUAGUGGGGGACAACAUUCCGAAAGGAAUGCUAAUACCGCAUACGUCCUACGGGAGAAAGCAGGGGAUCUUCGGACCUUACGCUAAUAGAUGAGCCUAAGUCGGAUUAACUAGUUGGUGGGGUAAAGGCCUACCAAGGCGACGAUCUGUAGCGGGUCUGAGAGGAUGAUCCGCCACACUGGGACUGAGACACGGCCCAGACUCCUACGGGAGGCAGCAGUGGGGAAUAUUGGACAAUGGGGGGAACCCUGAUCCAGCCAUGCCGCGUGUGUGAAGAAGGCCUUAUGGUUGUAAAGCACUUUAAGCGAGGAGGAGGCUACUGAGACUAAUACUCUUGGAUAGUGGACGUUACUCGCAGAAUAAGCACCGGCUAACUCUGUGCCAGCAGCCGCAGUAAGAC